AGAGGGUGGGGUUUUAAACGUUAUCCAAUGAGCAACGCCGGGCUGGGGACUGUCCAAUCAAGCAGGCAGCGGAAGCGGACAGGACGGCUUCCCGGAUGUGGUGGUUCCUUGGUCUCCCCCCUGAAGCUGGAGCUCUAGGUCUCCUCUUCACUGCUCUGUGUACUCUACUCCUAAAGGCGCACCCUUUGUGUCCCUGUGACCAGUGGUAUUGGGAGAUCCACAGCUAAGAGGCCGGAACCCUCUGGAAGCCUAGAAAUGGAUGACCUGAGGUAUGGAAUGUAUCCUCUAAAGGGAGCAAGUGGAUAUCCUGGGGCUGACAGCAAUCUUCUGGCGCACUCUUAUUUUGAAAGGUAACCCCUUGAGAUGUUGAAAAUGCCUUUGGGAUUAGCCUAACAGUGAGAAACCCUGUCCCUACUAAAAAUACAAAAAAAUUAGUUGGG